rnacentral:lncRNA from 1 species
CACAGCUCACACCCAGAGGGCUCCCAAAGACCCGCGCUCAGCACAAGGCAGCGGCAGCACCCAUGCCCCGGUGAGCAGCCCAGUUCCUCACUUGUGGAGCCACUACAGCAGCUGCAUAGGGGGGAGCGAAAUGGGGAAAUUUGGGGCAGAUUUCACUUUUAAAUAUGGGAAGUGCAUCGCCCUCCCCAUGCUGCCCAGCCAGUCAGAGCCCUGAGCUGGGGCUGGGCACCCGGCCCUCACUGGGGCGAUUUCCCCGAAAGCCGCCGUUGCGCCACCGCAGCCCCUGCUGCGCGCAGCCGCCUUGCGAAAGCAAACACCCGAGCGAGCAGCGUCCGUCCGUCUGUCCGUCCCUCCGUCUGUCCGUCCUGCUGGUCUGCUCCAUCAGGCAGCCAUGGCAGCGGCUGGCAUCGCUGCCAUCCUCAUCCUCACAGCACUGCCACCCGCUGCGGCCGCUUCCUGCGAGCCCACGCAGAGCCCGGCCAACGCAACGGCACCGGGGCUGCUGGGGACGUGGCGGUACGUGGCCGGGGCCGCCCAGCUGCCCCAGCACCUCCUGGAGCUGCUGCUCAUCGACCACGGCCACCUGCGCGUGGAGCCCAGCGCCGGGGGGCAGGAGCUGCUCGUCACCCAGCACGUGGCCGCGGGCGGCCGCUGUCUCUCCAACAACUCCACCUACUUCCAGCUCCCUGAUGGUGGUGGAACAGUGCUGGUGAAGCACGCCAAGACCCAGCAGACCGUGGGGACGCUGCUGAACCUCAGCUCUGAGGACAUUUUGCUCAUCCAGCACCAACUGCAGAAGGAGAGGACGUAUUCAGCGCUGUAUCUCUAUGCCCGAAAUCAGACCGUGAGCAAGGCCCAGCGGGACGAGUUCACCCAGCACGCCCAGCGCCUGGGGCUCAGCGAAGGGGAGAUCAUGUACGCACCAUGGAGGCAGGAGCUGUGUCAAGUGGAGGAAACCCAAGAUGGCGGCGCCCAAGGCACGGCCCCCCCGGCCACAGGCCCAGAGCCACCAGCACCAAGCGGGGCCGGGAGCACGACAAGCCAGCACCAAUAAAUUCUUCACUCCAACACGUCACUGUUCAUUGCUGAGAGAUUAGGGCUCAGGAGUGCAAAAAAAGAGAUUGAGCACCCGAUUUGCCUCAUGUGUCCCUCGCCUGGUGUUUGGGAACAGCAGCCUCGAGCGCCCGUGGCUGCAGGAUGAGGCGCACAGGGCAACCGUGGCCUCUCAGCCCCUCACAGCAUGCUCCAGGCCCGGGUUUGGGAGCUGGGCUCCUCCAGAGGUAACACUGAAAGCAGUGAUGGAGGCUUACCAGAAGAGGGCAAUCGGUUACCAUGCAUAGAAGCAUGCCAAGCAUCUGAUGCGUAACUGAAAUCCACGUGAGGCCAGAAACUUCUCAAACUGUGGGCCAAGAGGAAGAUGGGGCUUAACUGGAAUCAGUCCCUAACUCCUGCCAGAGCUGGUCCAUCUUGCCCAAAACGAGCCCAGCUGCUGCUGCCCUUCCCUCUUAUCCCUUUGGGCCAGGCUGGAGCUCCCCAGCCUUCACCCACAGCAUGCCCGGCUGUGGUGACACUGGUGGAGCUGGGGCUGCUAACCCAGGCCUGCAGGAUUUUGAUUCCUCCCCAGAAAAAGGGCACAAUUCCUCACAUCUGCAUGAAUCCAGCACGGUGCUGGGGUAUGGUGCUGACAGACACCCCACGCCUCCAUCUUCACCCAGGGGAGCACAGCGCUGCUGCUCCGUGCUUGUGACACUAAGGGAAGGUUAAAAAAAGCACCCGUGGUUGCUGCGUGGCUGGGAGGUAAUUCAGUCUCAGCUCUAACCUAGUAAUUAAGCACUGAAAAUAUCUCUGCCUUAAAAAGGAGGAAAAGGACGAGCUGCUGGCACACAGCAAGGAGCCCUGCCCCUCCGCAGUGCCACCAGGGUGCCUUUACCCUGCAAGGCAGCGCAUGCUGGGGAGCAUUUCGCUCGGGCUUCUGGCCCAAUUUCUUGUAGCAAAACUGGGUUUUACAGAGUGAAAUCAGCACGUUCCCUCGGGGUCUCAGGGCACAGGUACCUGGCCAGCCUUUGCUUCCAGCAUCUUUAUCGGCUUCUGGCAAAAAUCUUAACACUCCACCUCAGAGCCAGCCAUGGAAGGGCAGGAGAGGACAGCAGAGAUGGGUGCUGCCAGCAGCCUUGAGAGCUGUGGGGCAGAGAAGGCUGCGAUGCCUUCAGCUGAGCAGAGCUGACGCUGCUGGAAAGCAGCUCCUCAGGUUGCAAGGGCCAAGGCUUUAUAAGUAGAGUUACAGAUGAAUAAAAGCCUUGAAUGACAGUCAGAGACAUAAAAACCAACCCCAGUGCAGUCCCCACGGAGAGUUCUGUUUGCCGGUAGUGCAAAUGCCGUCUGAUUUAGCUGUUUCCUGGAACCUUCAAUAGCUCAGUUUUAUUGUUGUUGUUUUAGACAGAAAUUGGAAAAAAAUUUUUUUUUGAAAACCUUAGAAGUCCUUCAAGGUUCCUUUGUUCCUUCAGGGGCAUUAUUUAGACUGCGGAGUUUCCAGAUUUUCCAGGGCUCUCACUUCUCUGAACAAGUUAUGGACACUGAACAGAUGAAGAAAACAUCCAGCAGCACUCAGAGCUAAGCCAACCAUAUCCAAGUGUUUCUGAGCCAUUACAUCCACCAUUACUUUUGAUCUCGUUUUUGCUCUUUUUUCCCUUUAAGAAUUCUGUUCUCCCAGGUCCUUGUAGGGAGAACCAUUCCCAGCAUCACCAUCCUUGGUAAAAGCCAUCCUAGUCUGGCCACAGACCACCAAUAAGCCAUAUCGAGAAAGAGACAGACACAUGGCAUCUCUUUGACAGACCUUUAUUAGCAGACUGUUCCCUACAUGAAGGAUCCGAGUUAGAUUUGCAUAUUAACAAUUUGUGGUUACAGCUACAAAGAUGGUUGUCAUUUUGCAUUGAUUUUUGCAUUCUGAUAUUCAUAUUUCCAUUAGGCCACACGGGUAGGAAGGAGCCACUGCAAAAUUUACAAUAGAUCUCAAAAAAAAAAGAGGGGGGGUGGGAAAAAAUCUUAUCACUAAUCCAGACCGCUUAGAUUCCCAUGUGGCUAACUACUGACAGCACUGGAUAGCCAAGGCAGAGAGCCUCACCUGGAAGGCUAUCCAUGAAGUCUGUCAGCAGAAAAGCAGCUGCUGAGUGCUAACAGAUCCUUUUCCGACUUCUCAGGCACUUCUCUCCAGUGUCCAUUUGCACAUAGAGAGCAGUGGCUCAGCAGCAGGAUCUGCUGAUUCAGCCUCAAAGCACAACUGCAGCAGCUUGGGUCUAAGGGCAAGUUUCCUCCCAUCUCUCUAGAAACUUGUGUUUUCUUUAGUCCCUGAGAUUUCUCCCCCCUCCCCUUUUACUUAAAGAUUCCCCAAGAUCGCUCUCAAUUAGCUGUUGUGACACCCAACAUGCACAGACCUUCUACUUCCCAACUUCAGCCAUCCACCCGAAACCCCUUCAGCCAUGCACAGAGGCAAUUCCGAAAUAAGGCAGGCCUCACAGUGCACCCUCUGCCCUCAUCCCUGCUUCCUCACCAGCUCCCUUCUCUCCUAUGGCAUCCUGCUACAGAAUUUCUCUGGGCUGAGGUCCUCCAGCAACAACCCCGGACUGGGGAAAGGCAGCUCAAGCCCCACAGGGAAGGUACGCUAGUGACUUCAGUGUCCUUCCCACGACUCAGCUGUGUGAUGUACGAGAACAAAUAGAGAACUUUUUAAAACAGGAGAAAUACAAGCACAGUAACAAUAUUUAAACAAGUCUAUAAAAAUAGUCUGACAUAACUCUGUUCAAAUAAAUACAAAAUAAAUAUGCUUUAAGCAGUAAAACAGUGGAAUGCAACGCUGGUCCAUCUUGCCCAAAACGAAAAGUUGGAUGAGGAUCUCCCAGGCCUCAGAAGCCAGAUCCUAUCAACUAAAGUAGCCCAUAAUGCAGAGAAAUUUUUAAAGCCAGCUCUUUCCCUUAGCCUUAUGAAAAGCACCCUUUGAAAGAAAAGCAAGUGCGUCCUCAGGACUGAAAGCUCACCUCUCCCAGUGACAACCAGCCCCUCUCCCUAACACCCCUUCCCACAACAGACCCUUCUGGCUCGGGGACUCCAUCCCGCUAAUGCAAACCUGAACAUCAAUCUACAAAGAGGUCUAAAGAGAUAGAUAGCAGCGUAGGCACUGGGUUUGGAAAGGUCCAUCAGCUACCCUUGGCACCAGGCAGAAUGGAAUUCAGAGGUCCAUGCGAUGCUGCACAGGGGCUCUCUUGUCGUGCUGGGAGCACAGCUGCACAGGAGCUGUGAAGUAUUGUCAUUUAUUCACUAAAGCCAUGCAUCAAGGUGCCGGUCCACCGAGGACUCUCAAGCCUUCCCCUUUCCAAGCCCCUGCUGAGUAUAAGACAAGCCAAUCCCGGCAUGCAAAGGAUACAGGCAUGCAGGCUCUAGUCUGCUGCUUCUGUUAGUAAGUGCAUCUUGUUAGUGGAUUUAUGAGACACACUUAAACCUAUCAAAAAUAAAUAAUCCUAAUCCUUCAUCAGGCUGGCCUAAGUAACAUUCAGCCUGACUGGAUAAACCACUGCCCACCAGCCCUCAAAACCAGUAUAGUUCAAAGUUACAUUUCAUGUCAAGUCUUGGAAGCAGAACAUGAAUGUCUCCUACCCAAAGGAAUAUAUGUAAACAUAAUGACAAGCCUGGUGUGGCAGCAGCUCCUACACAAGGUUUGUACAAAUUUAAACAACAGGUAGGAAGUUAAACAACUGAAUGGAAAAAGAAGCUCUUUCAGCAAGUCAGAAGGUGCUCAUCUGCAGGCAUACAGCUCUGUACAUGUCAUAUGCUGAAAGCAGACUGUUCCCCAAAUCUUUGCUACUUUGACCUCAGCAACUCAUGCCUUAGGAUUGUGCCAGGAGUUCGGCUCCCGGUCUCCCAAAAGGCCCAACAAAACGGACCACCUGAUGGUUUACGUAGAGCUCUGAGUAGCAAGAUGGCAAAGGACACCAGAUGCUCCCCUCCCCUUACUGACUCACAAACUAUCUGAGAUUUCACAGCUUUGCUUAGUCAGCUUAGUGUCGACACAUUCACAGAAUGAGAGAUGGCUAUACGUCUUGGGAUUACACCCCAAGAUUUCAGAGUUCA